rnacentral:lncRNA from 1 species
GUUAUUUGGCUGGAGUGAGGUCUCAUGUCUGCUUAUGCGGUGGCUCGCUGCUCAGAACAGGCCUAGCUAGAUGCCUGGAAUUUCCCUUGAAGGAAGUCAAGAUUUUCCUUUAUCUCCAUACUGGCUGAUGGUGAUCGAGUAAGCCCCUAAGAGGGGUCCCUGCUCCAUCUCGAGAUGCUGCUAGAUUCUACAGUGCCUAAUAAACAGCUCUCGCCUGGCCGACAAAGAGCUGCUUGCUCUCUGGAUAGCAAUUCCAAAGUGAACAGACAACAUCCUGUUUGGAAGACUGCCACUCUGUUAGAAGAAGCAUCAGGAAAACCUUUCUUUUGAGCUAUUUAUAACUAACAGCAAUUGACCAAGUAUACUUUUGUGAGUGAAACUGACCUUUCUCCCUGAACCAUUGGAGAUACUCAUUACUCUUUGAAGGCUUACAGUGGAAUGAAUUCAAAUACGACUUAUUUGAGGAAUUGAAGUUGACUUUAUGGAGCUGAUAAGAAUCUUCUUGGAGAAAAAAAGACUGGUACUUCUGAAUUAACCAAAAUCACAGUAUUCUGAAGAUGAUUCUACAAAGCCUGCUGUUUCUACAAAGGCUGCUGAUGAUUUCUACAAAGCCUGCUGUAGUGUUGCUGUGGCCUCUGCUUAAAAAAGUAGAAAACACAUUGAUGCAGCAUGUUCACCCCAACCUCCCUGCCUAAAGGCUCAGGGACCAUCUUGGAAGAGGAAGGCGCGUGAGAUUGUAAGAGCCGAAUUAGGGGGAUGGAGUGUGGA